UCAGUUUAACAUGGAUACACCACCUGGACAUUAUAUACUACCUCCGAGGUGACCAGCCAGGGAUCAGUUUAACAUGGAUACACCACCUGAACACUAUAUACAACCUCCGAGCUGACUAGCCAGGGAUCAGUUUAACAUGGAUACACCACCUGGACACUAUAUACUACCUCCGAGGUGACCAGCCAGGGAUCAGUUUAACAUGGAUACACCACCUGGACACUAUAUACUACCUCCGAGCUGACCAGCCAGGGAUCAGUUUAACAUGGAUACACCACCUGGACACUAUAUACAACCUCCGAGCUGACCAGCCAGGGAUCAGGUUAACAUGGAUACACCACCUGGAGACUAUAUACUACCUCCGAGCUGACCAGCCAGGGAUUAGUUUAACAUGGAUACACCACCUGGACACUAUAUACCACCUCCGAGCUGACCAGCCAGGGAUCAGUUUUACACGGAUACACCACCUGGACACUGUAUACCACCUCCGAGCUUACCUGUUCUUGUAUUC